GACGUAGGGCGCGAGCGUUGUCCGGAUUUAUUGGGCGUAAAGAGCUCGUAGGCGGCUUGUCGCGUCGUCCGUGAAAACCCACAGCUCAACUGUGGGCUUGCGGUCGAUACGGGCAGGCUAGAGUUCGGUAGGGAGACUGGAAUUCCUGGUGUAGCGGUGAAAUGCGCAGAUAUCAGGAAGAACACCUAUGGCGAAGGCAGCACUCUGGGACGGUACUGACGCUGAGACGCGAAAGCGUGGGGAGCGAACAGG
rnacentral:rRNA from 1 species